CCUACGGGAGGCAGCAGUGGGGGAUAUUGCACAAUGGGGGAAACCCUGAUGCAGCGACGCCGCGUGUGGGAAGACGGUCCUCUGGAUUGUAAACCACUGUCCCCAGGGACGAAGAUGACGGUACCUGGGGAGGAAGCGACGGCUAACUACGUGCCAGCAGCCGCGGUAAAACGUAGGGGGCGAGCGUUGUCCGGAUUUACUGGGUGAAAAGGGAGCGUAGGCGGGACUGCAAGUUGGGUGUCAAAUCUACCGGCUCAACCGGUAGACGCACUCAAAACUGCAGUUCUUGAGUGAAGUAGAGGCAGGCGGAAUUCCUAGUGUAGCGGUGAAAUGCGUAGAUAUUAGGAGGAACACCAGUGGCGAAGGCGGCCUGCUGGGCUUUUACUGACGCUGAGGCUCGAAAGUGUGGGGAGCAAACAGGAUUAGAUACCCGAGUAGUC
rnacentral:rRNA from 1 species